rnacentral:rRNA from 1 species
CUCGUAGGCGGUCUGUUGCGUCCGCUGUGAAAACUCGGGGCUUAACCCCGAGCCUGCAGUGGAUACGGGCAGACUAGAGGUAGGUAGGGGAGAAUGGAAUUCCCGGUGUAGCGGUGAAAUGCGCAGAUAUCGGGAGGAACACCGGUGGCGAAGGCGGUUCUCUGGGCCUUACCUGACGCUGAGGAGCGAAAGCGUGGGGAGCGAACAGGAUUAGAUACCCUGGUAGUCCACGCCGUAAACGUUGGGCGCUAGGUGUGGGAUCCUUCCACGGAUUCCGUGCCGCAGCUAACGCAUUAAGCGCCCCGCCUGGGGAGUACGGCCGCAAGGCUAAA